AAACAACUACAGGGAGUGCAGAAUUAUUAGGCAAAUGAGUAUUUUGACCACAUCAUCCUCUUUAUGCAUGCUGUCUUACUCCAAGCUGUAUAGGCUCGAAAGCCUACUACCAAUUAAGCAUAUUAGGUGAUGUGCAUCUCUGUAAUGAGAAGGGGUGUGGUCUAAUGACAUCAACACCCUAUAUCAGGUGUGCAUAAUUAUUAGGCAACUUCCUUUCCUUUGGCAAAAUGGGUCAAAAGAAGGACUUGACAGGCUCAGAAAAGUCAAAAUAGUGAGAUAUCUUGCAGAGGGAUGCAGCACUCUUAAAAUUGCAAAGCUUCUGAAGCGUGAUCAUCGAACAAUCAAGCGUUUCAUUCAAAAUAGUCAACAGGGUCGCAAGAAGCGUGUGGAAAAACCAAGGCGCAAAAUAACUGCCCAUGAACUGAGAAAAGUCAAGCGUGCAGCUGCCACGAUGCCACUUGCCACCAGUUUGGCCAUAUUUCAGAGCUGCAACAUCACUGGAGUGCCCAAAAGCACAAGGUGUGCAAUACUCAGAGACAUGGCCAAGGUAAGAAAGGCUGAAAGACGACCACCACUGAACAAGAUACACAAGCUGAAACGUCAAGACUGGGCCAAGAAAUAUCUCAAGACUGAUUUUUCUAAGGUUUUAUGGACUGAUGAAAUGAGAGUGAGUCUUGAUGGGCCAGAUGGAUGGGCCCGUGGCUGGAUUGGUAAAGGGCAGAGAGC